AUACAUGCAAGUCGAGCGAACUGACGAGGAGCUUGCUCCUUUGACGUUAGCGGCGGACGGGUGAGUAACACGUGGGUAACCUACCUAUAAGACUGGAAUAACUCCGGGAAACCGGGGCUAAUGCCGGAUAACAUAUCGAACCGCAUGGUUCGAUAGUGAAAGACGGUCUUGCUGUCACUUAUAGAUGGACCCGCGCCGUAUUAGCUAGUUGGUGAGGUAACGGCUCACCAAGGCGACGAUACGUAGCCGACCUGAGAGGGUGAUCGGCCACACUGGAACUGAGACACGGUCCAGACUCCUACGGGAGGCAGCAGUAGGGAAUCUUCCGCAAUGGGCGAAAGCCUGACGGAGCAACGCCGCGUGAGUGAUGAAGGUCUUCGGAUCGUAAAGCUCUGUUGUUAGGGAAGAACAAAUGUGUAAGUAACUGUGCACAUCUUGACGGUACCUAACCAGAAAGCCACGGCUAACUACGUGCCAGCAGCCGCGGUAAUACGUAGGUGGCAAGCGUUAUCCGGAAUUAUUGGGCGUAAAGCGCGCGUAGGCGGUUUUUUAAGUCUGAUGUGAAAGCCCACGGCUCAACCGUGGAGGGUCAUUGGAAACUGGAAAACUUGAGUGCAGAAGAGGAAAGUGGAAUUCCAUGUGUAGCGGUGAAAUGCGCAGAGAUAUGGAGGAACACCAGUGGCGAAGGCGGCUUUCUGGUCUGUAACUGACGCUGAUGUGCGAAAGCGUGGGGAUCAAACAGGAUUAAAUACCCUGGUAGUCCACGCCGUAAACGAUGAGUGCUAAGUGUUAGGGGGUUUCC
rnacentral:rRNA from 1 species